rnacentral:rRNA from 1 species
AAACAAAGUGAGAAAUACUACGGACUACUAUGGUUCAGGGAGGAAAACAAAGACGAGAACUCGACGAGUAGUAACACAAAACCAAGACUUGGACUAUAGGCCACGGACUACAGAUAUGUUGCUAGUCAAUAACUAGAGUCUCCGUAUGAGUUUAGGAGUACCUUAAAACGGUUAUCGUGGUUGCCAAAACAUACGGUUAAAUGACCGCACCUUACAACCGUGGGGCUGCUCUUGUUCCAAAUGCGAAACGCAGAGCCGUUGGAUCCCGAACUCCCGGGUAAAGGACUUCCAGAAGUUGUAACAUGUUCGAACUCGUACGACCUGGACAGUUCGUUGUUAAAAAGUCCUGACUAGGGACGGCUCUAGAGUACCGUCGACAGCAUAGACAGUAGAGAUCUAGAAAGCAAGUUAUUUAAAAGUCCACUUUAGGGUCUAUCAUAGCGUUUAGACUCCUUAGACUUACGGGAGUUGGAAGUCGUGUUGGUUGAUUCACCGGGUUAAGGAAGGAGCCAUACCUUCAAACUACGAAGUAUGAAACGACCUUUGGUCCUCGAAACACCAUGUGGUAACCUGUUCACAGGGUCCUCCUCCUCUACCUCUCACUCUACUUAUUCCGACGUGCCCUAGUUACUAGUCAGGUCGUAGCCUCGUCAACAGCCUAAGCAACGCCCCAAGCACCACCGGGAGAUGAAGGGCGUGACGAAGUAGAAGAGACUCUCCGAGGCACGGAUACAACAGUCGUAUCAUACUGGGCUAACAAGACCUUGAAACAAACAGUAGGCCUAUGGUUUGUCCGUGAAGGUUGUCGUUGAAGUCAAGGGAGGGGACGUCAUUGUCAAGUGGUUGUACAUAUGGACCAUGGGAUCGUUCAGGGUACAAAAAGGAAGCGAACAUCACGUUUACCACGUUCCGUAAGAGAGCUUCCUUUCUUUUCACGUGUCUUAGUGCCAAUAUUUAAACAUUACUAAAUAUAUGAGAAGAACAAGAACUCCAAACUUUCCUCUGUGUCUUAAUAUAAACACACAAGUGAGAGGACUUAGUAAAAAGAGCUCCCUUUACUUGAGGGUAGUGUCGUUGUAUUGUAUAGUUUAAACUAGUCGACAUAAUUCUUUUAUAUGUCCUCGUUUGAACUAUAAAAUAUCCACACCGUCUUAGUCUUAUUACUACGGGAAGUACAAAAGACGGGUCAUUCUCUCGUCUGUAGGGUCAGACGUGGCAACAGGAGGGAGUUGGAACUCCCGCAGAAGUUUCACGGGUCUAAAAGAGGUGUUCCUUAUAAAAACCUCAUUUUCAUUGACAUUUACGUGGGUCGCUCUGGCACUCUAGUCUCAAGAACGUUCUCCCGAGUUUUAAGAUAAGACAAUCCGCUACUACGUUUGAGGUAGGUGUGUAAGGAACCACUGUUAAGAUGGUUUUGACCUGUGAGCUGUUACGACCUUCUUUUCAGAUACGAGGCCACCUCCCUAAGAGACAAAAUUUUCCCGACGUGGGCAAGUACAUGUCUUCUACCACCGAAGAUUAAACCGAACUACUUGACCACCGCAACCUUAACUGUUCGACGUCGAAAACCGUGUCUCGUCGACAAACAAAUAGAGUGGUAAAUGCUACCGACUACUAUGGUUCAAGGAGGCAAACAAAGAGGAGAACUCGUCGAGUAACAACACAAAACCAAGACUUGUACUAUAGGUCACGGAGUUCAGGCAUGUUGUUAGUCACUAACUAGGGUUGCCACAUGAGUUUGGGAGAACCUUGAAACUUUUACGGUGGUCGCCAAAGUAUACGGCGAAAUGACCACACCUUACGACCGUCGGGCUGCUCUUGUCCCAAGAGAGAGACGCGGAGCCGUUGGAACCUGAACUUCCGAGUAAAGGAUUUCCAGAAGUUUUAACAAGUUCGUACUGCCCGGACCUGGACAGCUUAUUGUUAAAAAGUCCUGUCUAGGGAAGACUGUAAAAUGUCGUCCACGUCGUCGACUGUAAAGACCUAGAAAGCAUGUUAUCGAAAAGCCCUAGUUAGGGUCUCUCGUACAGUUUAUACUGUAUAGACUUAGAGGAGUUGGAACUCGUAUUGGUUGAGUCGCCAGUUUAAGGUGGCGUUAAGCUAAACGAAUGAGCCAAUUGAUGCAAGUUACAACGCCUCUUGAACAAUAGUCCCGGACAAGGAUGAAGUGAUGUCUUCAAAAGCCGAAGCUUGAAACGACCAUUGGUUCCUGAAACACUACGUGGAAAUCUACUCACGAGGCGAAGCGACCGGAAGUGGUAAUCUGGUCAUGUUUAGGCAGACGUCUCCGAGUCGCUGGUCAGCUUGUAGUCUCGUCGGCAACCUAAGUAGCACACCAAGCACCACCGGAAGAUGAAGGGCGUCACUAAACAGACGAGGCUCUCCGGAUGCACUAAGUCUAUACUAAGUGAACAAGACUUAGACGCAGACCGUCUCGAACACCUCCGGUUUACUCGUGAAGGUUGUCAUUAAAAUCAAACAAGGGACGUCAUUGCUAAUAGAAUUAAGUGGACUACAUAUGGACCGUUGAACGGUCACGGCCACGAAACCAAACGAACAUUUACCAUUUCGUAUAAAGUAAAGAAGGUCUUUCUCUUUCGUCGAGUGAGUUUUUCCUGAUGAAGGUUA